UGCCGAUUGCUUAUUGCUUCUUGAAUAUGCCUGUCAUUUGAGAGAUUUCUACUUCUGUGAUUUAUGAUCAUUGGAACCAUGAUAGGUUACUGCUUAGGAGAGUAACUAACUGUUUUAUUUAUGAUCAACUCAUUAUUUUUUUAGCAGUGGAUUUGGCCAACUAAGUACAUAUCUAGAAAUAUAAAAGAGCUCUUUUCUAUCGCAGAUUCACUUAUACAUGCUUCGUAACCAGAUAAUAUGAGAAUAUAUAUUACCAGAAUAAUAGGUAUUACAACUUCAUAGGGUGUCAUGCUUCCUGAUAUCCAUGUUUCAUAUGUCAUGUUUGUCAAACAAUACUAACAUAUGGUGAAUUUUUAUUUGUAGAGAGAGAGAGGGAGAGGGAGAGGGAGAGGGAGAGGGAGCGGGGAUUUCAUGUUGGCAGUAACUGUUAAUAUGUUGAUGCAGAUCUUUUUUAAGUCUGCCAUGAGUUAACUUUGUCUUGGUACAAUUUUGGUGCUUCAGAUUUGUAACUUGUUACUUGUUAUCACAAUCUACUUGGUUUUGUUUGUUUUGAGUUAAGGUCAAGAACAUGGGUGGCGUAUCAAUGGUCUAAUCUUGUGUGAAUCGGGUCCUCAACUGUAUGUUGCUGCUGCUGCUCUACGGGCGUCGUGCACAUGGAGGCGCUGGCCGGUCGGUCGUGGCACCGGUGUCCAGCGCCUGCCCAUGGUGCCUCUCAGUAGACAAUUAAUUUGUUUUAUACAGGAAAUCGAAUUAAUAAGCAGCAAGAUUUUUAUUUCUGAAGAAACUUCGCUAGCGCACUUGUCCAUAUAGUAUAGUGUUUUUGUGUGUUGCAAGCCUGCAACUGCUAAUAUUGGUUGUUUCUCUGUUGUUGUCUUGUUUAUUCUGAAGUUGUGAACAUAAACUCAACCAGUUCUAUUUUGUCAGUUCUAUUAAUUGCAUUUCAGUCCAUCUGAAGUCUUUGACUAACUUUACCUGUCUUUUCCAGGAUGAUUUUUUUUGCCAAGAACUUAACACCACUUGAUUAUAUUUACUAGCACAAGUGCAUGGCAGAAGUUCCAGUUUCGCCUCUCUUAAUUUCUACUCUUCUCUCUUAUUAGUUAUUACUGUUGCUGGCAUACAAUGUAAGCCUCCCUCCCUGUGUCCAGGACUCCAGGUACAUUCAGGUGGCAAGGUAGAGUUGAAGAGGAGAGGAAGCUUGCACUAGACAGACAUGUAAAGAGCUUACAUCUGAAGAGGAGAGGAAGCUUGCACUGGCAAGGGUUUCUUGCAGGUAAGAGCCCGAAGGGAGUGAAUAUUAAUGAUCCUGGAACAAGCAGUUUGCAGUGUCAACCCAGCAGCUAAUGGAGGCACUACUGGUUCACCAUUCUCCUUGGUCGAGGGGCGGUGCACACGGCUGCGGAAUCCUGCAGGUGGUGGCAGUUGGGGACUGCGCGAGGGAGGCGAAGAGAGCAGAUGCGGAUGGAGCGUGGGGAUGAAUGUGGUUGUGUAGCAAUAGUUUGGCCUAGAACAAUGUAAUGGCUUUGUAUGUCUGAAAUUUAUCCGUAGCGUUAACACGAGCACACUUACAUAUAAAUAUUACAUGUGUUGUUUUUUU